UCUGCUCAGAAAUCCACCAGACUCCUCUGAUGGCUUUGCUUUUAUAGUGGAAAACUACAAUUAACAAUUAAAAAAAAAAAUAGCCAUGAAAAUAAGUGAAAUUAGAACCUGCCGACUUCACUUCCUGGAGGCUUUUUGUUGGGUCUUGAAACUAGGAAUCUUUGCGGGUCAUCCUUGGUCAGAAGCAGCUCGAUUCAGCUGUCCUGAGUCAAGGGCGAGCUUACCGGUCACCAAUUCAGCGACUAGUGUGGCCAGGAUGGAGCAACGCCUGAGUAAUGGAAACCCUUCGUCAGAACCCACCCUUGCCAGAGCUGGUGAUUCAGGCAGUUUACGGGUUAACUCUAAAGCCAUGAUUUGGAGAACCUAGUGUUCGUGGAGAAGCGUCCCAUGUGCAUGUUGUUUGCAAGUUUGUGUAUGGGGCAGCCAGGGGAAGUCAGAGGAGACAAUGGUUCUAAUGUGUUUCUCUUGGGUCAAACACAAAAGAGUGUACAUACACAGGGGCCAUUAAGGAAAUAAAUGGCCAAAAAAAAAAAAAAAAAAAGCAAGCAUAGGGAACCCCUUUGCCAGACUCAGCUGUCAUCUCUGUAAGGGUGCUCACUUUAGCAGCAUUUAUGUUACAAUUGGAAUGAUACAGGGAAGAUUGCAUGGCCCCUGCACAAAGAUGAUAUGAAAAUUCGCAAUGCAUUCUGUAUUUAUUAGAGCUUACUUAAAAAAAAAAAAAAAAAAAUCUGCACAGGAAGCCCUGAUCUCUCACCUGCUUGCCCAGAGAACAGUUGUAUUCAAAAGGCAUGAAAAUACCGCAGGUU